ACCUCAGUAACGGCGAGUGAAGCGGUAACAGCUCAAAUUUGAAAGCUGGCUCUUUUAGGGUCCGCGUUGUAAUUUGUAGAAGAUGCUUCGGGUGUGGCCCCGGUCUAAGUUCCUUGGAACAGGACGUCAUAGAGGGUGAGAAUCCCGUAUGUGACUGGGUGCCUUCGCUCAUGUGAAGCUCUUUCGACGAGUCGAGUUGUUUGGGAAUGCAGCUCAAAAUGGGUGGUAAAUUUCAUCUAAAGCUAAAUAUUGGCCAGAGACCGAUAGCGCACAAGUAGAGUGAUCGAAAGAUGAAAAGCACUUUGGAAAGAGAGUUAAACAGUACGUGAAAUUGUUGAAAGGGAAGCGCUUGCAACCAGACUUGCGCGCUGAUGAUCAUCCGGGCUUCUGCCCGGUGCACUCGUCUGCGCUCAGGCCAGCAUCGGUUUCGGUGGUGGGAUAAAGGCCUUGGGAAUGUAGCUCCUCUCGGGGAGUGUUAUAGCCCUCGGUGCAAUGCCGCCUACCGGGACCGAGGACCGCGCUUCGGCUAGGAUGCUGGCGUAAUGGUUGUAAGCGACCCGUCUUGAAACACGGACCAAGGAGUCUAACAUCUAUGCGAGUGUUUGGGUGUCAAACCCAUACGCGUAAUGAAAGUGAACGGAGGUGAGAACCCUUAAGGGUGCAUCAUCGACCGGUCCUGAUGUCUUCGGAUGGAUCUGAGUAAGAGCAUAGCUGUUGGGACCCGAAAGAUGGUGAACUAUGCGUGAAUAGGGUGAAGCCAGAGGAAACUCUGGUGGAGGCUCGCAGCGGUUCUGACGUGCAAAUCGAUCGUCAAAUUUGCGUAUAGGGCGAAAGACU
rnacentral:rRNA from 1 species